AUUGAACGCUGGCGGCAGGCCUAACACAUGCAAGUCGAGCGGAGCGGCGGACGGGUGAGUAAUGCCUAGGAAUCUGCCUGGUAGUGGGGGAUAACGUCCGGAAACGGGCGCUAAUCCCGCAUACUAUCAGAUGAGCCUAGGUCGGAUUAGCUAGUUGGGUGGGUAAAGGCCUCCCAAGUCGACGAUCCGUAACUGGUCUGAGAGGCUGAUCAGUCACAAGGGAACUGAGACACGGUGCAGACUCCGACGUGAGCAAGCAGGGGGGGAUAUUGGACAAUGGGCGAAAGCCUGAUCCAGCCAUGCAGCGUGUGUGAAGAAGGUCUUCGGAUUGUAAAGCACUUUAAGUUGGGAGGCGUUACCAACAGAAUAAGCACCGGCUAACUUCGUGCCAGCCGCCGCGGGAAUUC
rnacentral:rRNA from 1 species